AUUGAACGCUGGCGGCAUGCCUUACACAUGCAAGUCGAACGGCAGCACGGGAGCAAUCCUGGUGGCGAGUGGCGAACGGGUGAGUAAUAUAUCGGAACGUGCCCAGUCGUGGGGGAUAACGUAGCGAAAGCUACGCUAAUACCGCAUACGAUCUAUGGAUGAAAGCGGGGGAUCGCAAGACCUCGCGCGAUUGGAGCGGCCGAUAUCAGAUUAGGUAGUUGGUGAGGUAAAGGCUCGCCAAGCCGACGAUCUGUAGCUGGUCUGAGAGGACGACCAGCCACACUGGGACUGAGACACGGCCCAGACUCCUACGGGAGGCGAGCAGUGGGGAAUUUUGGACAAUGGCGCAAGCCUGAUCCAGCAAUGCCGCGUGCAGGA
rnacentral:rRNA from 1 species